rnacentral:rRNA from 1 species
UUCGGUGACUAUAGCGGAAAGGAAACACCCGUUCCCAUCCCGAACACGGAAGUUAAGCUUUCCAGCGCCCAUGGUACUGCUCUGGUGACGGAGUGGGAGAGUAGGACGUCGCCGAAU